rnacentral:rRNA from 1 species
GGUGAACGCUGGCGGCGUGCCUAAUACAUGCAAGUCGAGCGAACAGACGAGGAGCUUGCUCCUCUGACGUUAGCGGCGGACGGGUGAGUAACACGUGGAUAACCUACCUAUAAGACUGGGAUAACUUCGGGAAACCGGAGCUAAUACCGGAUAAUAUAUUGAACCGCAUGGUUCAAUAGUGAAAGACGGUUUUGCUGUCAUUUAUAGAUGGAUCCGCGCCGCAUUAGCUAGUUGGUAAGGUAACGGCUUACCAAGGCAACGAUGCGUAGCCGACCUGAGAGGGUGAUCGGCCACACUGGAACUGAGACACGGUCCAGACUCCUACGGGAGGCAGCAGUAGGGAAUCUUCCGCAAUGGGCGAAAGCCUGACGGAGCAACGCCGCGUGAGUGAUGAAGGUCUUCGGAUCGUAAAACUCUGUUAGUAGGGAAGAACAAAUGUGUAAGUAACUAUGCACGUCUUGACGGUACCUAAUCAGAAAGCCACGGCUAACUACGUG